rnacentral:rRNA from 1 species
UACAGAGGGGGCAAGCGUUGUUCGGAAUUACUGGGCGUAAAGGGCGCGUAGGCGGCCUCCUAAGUCAGACGUGAAAUCCCUCGGCUCAACCGGGGAACUGCGUCUGAUACUGGGAGGCUUGAAUCCGGGAGAGGGAUGUGGAAUUCCAGGUGUAGCGGUGAAAUGCGUAGAUAUCGGGAGGAACACCGGUGGCGAAGGCGGUUCUCUGGGCCUUACCUGACGCUGAGGAGCGAAAGCGUGGGGAGCGAACAGG